GAUAAACGCUAGCGGCAGGCUUAACACAUGCAAGUCGAGGGGCAGCAUAGAUUGUAGCAAUACAAUUGGUGGCGACCGGCGCACGGGUGCGUAACGCGUAUGCAACCUACCCGUCACAGGGGGAUAAUCCGGAGAAAUCUGGUCUAAUACCCCAUAACAUAUGGAUCGGCAUCGGUUCAUGUUGAAAUUUUCGGAGGUGACGGAUGGGCAUGCGUAGCAUUAGCUUGUUGGUGAGGUAACGGCUCACCAAGGCGACGAUGCUUAGGGGGACUGAGAGGAUUUCCCCCCACACGGGUACUGAGACACGGACCAGACUCCUACGGGAGGCAGCAGUGAGGAAUAUUGGUCAAUGGGCGCAAGCCUGAACCAGCCAUGCCGUGUGCAGGAUGACGGCUCUAUGAGUUGUAAACUGCUUUUGUACGAGGGUAAAGUGGGUUACGUGUAACCUUUUGAAAGUAUCGUACGGAUAAGGAUCGGCUAACUCCGUGCCAGCAGCCGCGGUAA
rnacentral:rRNA from 1 species